rnacentral:rRNA from 1 species
CGGAAGGCGCGGCUACCAUGCAGUCGAGCGGAACGAGUUAUCUGAACCUUCGGGGAACGAUAACGGCGUCGAGCGGCGGACGGGUGAGUAAUGCCUAGGAAAUUGCCCUGAUGUGGGGGAUAACCAUUGGAAACGAUGGCUAAUACCGCAUAAUGCCUACGGGCCAAAGAGGGGGACCUUCGGGCCUCUCGCGUCAGGAUAUGCCUAGGUGGGAUUAGCUAGUUGGUGAGGUAAUGGCUCACCAAGGCGACGAUCCCUAGCUGGUCUGAGAGGAUGAUCAGCCACACUGGAACUGAGACACGGUCCAGACUACUACGGGAGGCAGCAGUGGGGAAUAUUGCACAAUGGGCGCAAGCCUGAUGCAGCCAUGCCGCGUGUGUGAAGAAGGCCUUCGGGUUGUAAAGCACUUUCAGUCGUGAGGAAGGUAGUGUAGUUAAUAGCUGCAUUAUUUGACGUUAGCGACAGAAGAAGCACCGGCUAACUCCGUGCCAGCAGCCGCGGUAAUACGGAGGGUGCGAGCGUUAAUCGGAAUUACUGGGCGUAAAGCGCAUGCAGGUGGUUUGUUAAGUCAGAUGUGAAAGCCCGGGGCUCAACCUCGGAAUUGCAUUUGAAACUGGCAGACUAGAGUACUGUAGAGGGGGGUAGAAUUUCAGGUGUAGCGGUGAAAUGCGUAGAGAUCUGAAGGAAUACCGGUGGCGAAGGCGGCCCCCUGGACAGAUACUGACACUCAGAUGCGAAAGCGUGGGGAGCAAACAGGAUUAGAUACCCUGGUAGUCCACGCCGUAAACGAUGUCUACUUGGAGGUUGUGGCCUUGAGCCGUGGCUUUCGGAGCUAACGCGUUAAGUAGACCGCCUGGGGAGUACGGUCGCAAGAUUAAAACUCAAAUGAAUUUGACGGGGGCCCGCACAAGCGGUGGAGCAUGUGGUUUAAUUCGAUGCAACGCGAAGAACCUUACCUACUCUUGACAUCCAGAAGAACUUUCCAGAGAUGGAA